rnacentral:rRNA from 1 species
GAUGAACGCUGGCGGCGUGCCUAAUACAUGCAAGUCGAGCGAACAGACGAGGAGCUUGCUCCUCUGACGUUAGCGGCGGACGGGUGAGUAACACGUGGAUAACCUACCUAUAAGACUGGGAUAACUUCGGGAAACCGGAGCUAAUACCGGAUAAUAUCUUGAACCGCAUGGUUCAAUAGUGAAAGACGGUUUUGCUGUCACUUAUAGAUGGAUCCGCGCCGCAUUAGCUAGUUGGUAAGGUAACGGCUUACCAAGGCAACGAUGCGUAGCCGACCUGAGAGGGUGAUCGGCCACACUGGAACUGAGACACGGUCCAGACUCCUACGGGAGGCAGCAGUAGGGAAUCUUCCGCAAUGGGCGAAAGCUUGACGGAGCAACGCCGCGUGAGUGAUGAAGGUCUUCGGAUCGUAAAACACUGUUAUGAGGGAAGAACAAAUGUGUAAGUAACUAUGCACGUCUUGACGGUACCUAAUCAGAAAGCCACGGCUAACUACGUG